rnacentral:rRNA from 1 species
AGGCAGCAGUGAGGAAUAUUGGACAAUGAAGGAAACUUUGAUCCAGCAAUACCGCACGGGUGAAGAAGGCUGUAAAGGAAAGGUUGUAAAGCUCUUUCGUCAGAGAGGAAAAUGACAGUAUCUGAAAAAGAAGUUCCGGCUAACUCCGUGCCAGCAGCCGCGGUAAUACGGGGGGAACUAGUGUUAUUCGGUCAAACUGGGCGUAAAGAGUUCGUAGGUGGAAUAAAGUAAGUUAAAAGUGAAAUGUCAAAAUUUAAUUUUGGAAACGCUUUUUAAACUGUUUUUUCUAGAGUAGAGGAUGGGAUAGUAGUAUUUUUUCAGAAGAGAUGGUAUACUAAGAUAGAAAAAAGAAAAUCGAGGGUGUAGACAACUAUCUAGCUUCUUAUACUAACACUGAGGAACUAAAGCAUGGGGAGCAAACAGAAUUAGAUACUCUGGUAGUCCAUGCCUUGACAUAUGAAUGUUAAAUAUUAAUUUUUUUUUUAGUAUUAAAGCUAACGCAUUAAACAUUCCGCCUGAGAAGUACGGCCGCAAGGCUAAAACUCAAAGAAAUUGACGGGAGUCUGUUAGCAGCAGUGGAGCAUGUGGUUUAAUUCGAUAAUACGCGCAAAACCUUACCAGCUUUGUACAGUAGGUGUUGCAUGGCUGUCGUCAGCCCGUGUCGUGAGAUGUGUCGUGAAAACGUUUAACGGGCAGAACCCCCCUACGCAGUUGCUAUAAUUUAUUUUUUAUUAAAAUAAUAUAUUUUUUAUUAAAAAAUAAAAAGAACUCUGUAAAACUGCCAAAAGACUAACCAUCUUUGGGUCGGAAGGUGGGGAUGAUUUCAAGUACUCAUGGCCCUUAUGAGCUGGGCUACUUCAUGUGCUACAAUGAUAAUUACAGUAAG